rnacentral:rRNA from 1 species
AUUGAACGCUGGCGGAAGGCCUAACACAUGCAAGUCGAACGCGUGGCGGACGGGUGAGUAAUGUCUGGGAAACUGCCUGAUGGAGGGGGGUAACUACUGGAAACGGUAGCUAAUACCGCAUACCAUCAGAUGUGCCCAUAUGGGAUUAGCUAGUGGGUGGGGUAACGGCUCACCAAGGCGACGAGCCCUAGCUGGUCUGAGAGGAUGACCAGCCACACUGGAACUGAGACACGGUCCAGACUCCUGCGGGAGGCAGCAGUGGUGAAUAGUGCACAAUGGGCGCAAGCCUGAUGCAGCCAUGCCGCGUGUAUGAAGAAGGCCUUCGUGUUGUAAAGUACUUUCAGCGGGGAGUCGUUACCCGCAGAAGAAGCACCGGCUAACUCCGUGCCAGCAGCCACGGUAAUUC